rnacentral:sRNA from 1 species
GCCAGGCGUGGUGGUGCAUGCCUGUAAUCCCAGCAGCUAGGGAGGCUGAGGCAGGAAGAUCACGAGUUCAAAGCCAGCCUCAG